UGUAUUUAAAAAUCUGAUUUUUUUUUAUUUUAUUUAAGAAUGUUUCUUAACAAAUUGCUGAGGACACAUCUACUUGUUAUACGACCAACAGGUUCAUGUGUCCACUGCACAGUAACAGACCACUGACACAGACAGCAGGGAUGCAGCAGAGACAGAGUUUAAUUUUUGCAGGGCGCCAAGCAAGGAGAUGGGAGGACAUCCUCAAACCCAUCUCCUCGAGGAGUUCUUGGCUGGGAUUUUUAAGGGGAUCAUUGAGGGUGAAGGAUUGGAAAAUUGGGGUUGUUGAUUGGUCAGGGCAAGGAGGGUGAUAUCAUCACGAUAUAGAAACUGCAUUCUUUAGUGAGUCCACUUCUCGUGGGGACCCUCAGAUCAGCUGAGUCAGUGGUAUCCUUCAGACCAGCUGGCACCACUGGGGUCUUACAGACAAGCUGGUGUAGUAAUUCCAUCAGUAUGCAGGACCAAUAGGAUUCAGGAUUUUAACUAAACUGACUUAGCAGGAUUCUUGCUAAAAUUGGUCAGUGUAGAAAUGAACAUGGGGGCCCAGAUGUCAGGAUCUGCUUGAGAAGAGACUUCAGAAAAAGACUGAUUCAAAUUUGGUCAAGGAGCGAAUCUUUGUUAGUCCCUCCAUCUUAUUCAAAGAAAGAAUAUAUAUUUUUCUUUUCUGUGAAGAAUAUAAGCCCAUUUUUUCAUUCAGUCACCUCCAGUUUAUUAAGAAGUAGAUGAAUCAUCUGAUAGGAAUUGGUAAUAAAGGUACUUGCUGGAUGGCAUGAGCAGUCAGGCAUUUAAUGAGGAAAGUUUCUAUGAAAAUUUAAAAAAAAAAAAGAUUAAUACUUAGAAACGCAGUUUCUGAGGCCAGAGGGAAGCCAGUCUAGAUUUCUAUUGAUAGGUGAUGGGCUGGAAGCCUCUUUAGAUGGUGGAGUGAGGAUGGAAGAGGUAACCCACUGAAUUUCCUGGUUUGUAGUUCGAAUGUCCUUGGUGAUGCCAUUGGAGGUUCCAGUGAACUUUUUAAAUGGUCCACACAGCAACAGGCACCAAGGUUGCCCAUCUAUGAUCUAUCAUGAUGAUUUCUAUGGAGUUUAUUUCAUUUCAAGUCAAUCAGCUUCAACUUUCAAGGCUUAAGGAAAAAGGAAAUUUUAGUUCUCAGGGUUGCCAAAUCAGGACGGUAGGAAAAAAAAUUGGAAGUGUUAGUUUGAAGAGUCGUAGCCAGAUAUUGGAGGAAACUAGAAGAAUUGAGACUUCACAGUGGUAUGGUAUAGUUUCUGCUGGGGGAAAAAUUCUCUGUCUGGUGUCCCUCCUUUUUGAUCAACUAUAACCAAAGUAAGAUUCUUUUUAUUUACAAAUAAGUCUGAUCUCAUUAGAUGUAGCCUAAUUAUUGACAUAAGGAUGAUAAGAAUGGUAAUUGCCCACAUAGGCCUUCUGAAUUUGCUUUGCUAGAAAUUUUCAUAAAGAAUCUCACAUUAGCCUUUUAGAAACCACUUAAAUUUAAGAAGCCAAGCCAAGAACUUAUCACCAGAUUUCACUUGCAGUACCUAUAGAUCUGGAUAAAUUCCUCC
rnacentral:lncRNA from 1 species